rnacentral:tRNA from 1 species
GAGGGUAUAGCUCAGUGGUGAAGUGUGCACUUAGCAUUUACAAGGUCCUGGGUUCAAUCCCCAGUACUUCUA